AAAGUGGGCUCCGCCUGCACUUCAGACAUCUCCAUGGUAACCUGUCUGUGCAUUGUGGAUUCGGAGCCCCCCGGCUCCGUGGAGUGGUCUCUUCCAGAUGGACCCCUGCCCAACCAGUCCAGUAACAGAGUGGAGAGGCAUGGUGGGAGGAGUCAUAUGGACCCGUCAGUAACCUGCAAGCAGGAAGUGCAUACAGCUAAGUGUGCUUCCUCAGAUCCCUCAACAUCAAGGAAAGAGCAGACAGACACCAGCAGGGAAAUCCACACAAACUACUACACCAACGAUCACGUAUAUGGAAACAUGGAGACUGAAGAGGAUGGUGACCCAUACGAGUGUGAUGGUGGAGACGAAGCAGUCUAUGGUAACAUGUGAACACAACAGGAAGCAUGUGGAAGUCAGCUGGCCCAGAGGCCAUGGUGUUCAGUCUCUCAAAGGUUCCAGUAAAAUAUUAACAUUUUAACCCAAUGUAGCAGAAC
ensembl:lncRNA